rnacentral:rRNA from 1 species
CAGUCGCCACGGGAAUGGGAAGGGGGCUAGCGUUGCUCGGAAUGACUGGGCGUAAAGGGCGCGUAGGCGGAUGGUACAGUCAGAUGUGAAAUUCCUGGGCUUAACCUGGGGGCUGCAUUUGAUACGUAUUGUCUAGAGUGAGGAAGAGGGUCGUGGAAUUCCGAGUGUAGAGGCGAAAUUCGUAGAUAUUCGGAAGAACACCAGUGGCGAAGGCGGCUCACUGGCUCAUUCUAGACGCUGAGGUGCGAAAGCGUGGGGAGUAAACAGGAUUAGAUACCCCAGUAGUCCCUGUCUCUUAUAC